CCGCAGUACCCUGGGCAUGGAGCUGGGCAACGGCAGGAAGGGGCUGAGCCUGCAGACGAGCGGCUCCUCACAGUCAUGGCUUUAAUUUGAGUCAAGGGUGCCUUUCUGCUCCUUGGUCACAGCCACAUGUCAAGUGGUCACCCUGGCCUGGAGGCAGUGAACAAGAAGACUACUUCCCUCUGGCAUACAUUUGUUACUUAGGAAACAACAGGCCCGUUGUUAUGAGAAUUUGCUUGUCACCCACGAGUGAUGUAUGAGAAAGACCUGGACCGGCAAGCACACAAAUGCAGGAUGCACAGUGAACCCUUUGCAGCUCCUGGGUGACAUAGCCAGUGGCACUGGUCACCUAGCAAGGCUUGGUGAGUCAGACCUUGAAUUUGCUGACAUGGCACUCUUCCCUGCUACUAUGCUGUAAACCAAUUAGUGGAUGCUCGUUAUUUCAGGUGUAUCAGUCUCAUAUGGGGUGUUGCAGGGAUGGAAAGGGCAGGACUGUGCUCCUGCAGCUGCCGACAUGCCAGCAGGAUGGGAGCAUGGCUCUGCACGGUCUCAUCGAUGGGCAUCAUCCCUCCAGCAUACUAGGCAGCUGGUUCAAAUAUACUUAGUUUUUGCUACGUAAUCAGCAAAAUUACAGAGAUGUAAUCACUUGUUAAUUGAAAAAUGUUUUAUUGCUGCUUAUUUCUGUUUCUGUUUUCCUUAAUGUGCAGCACACCAUGGAAAUGCGGUGUGUCAGGAGGUGGCAAGUCUGAGAUAGGUGCUUUUGCACCCGCUGGCCACUUACGCCUAGCUUGUUCCUUACGGAGUGCAGUGUAGGCAUAUGCAGUUCAAAAUAACCAGGCCAGUUAGGAAUAAAGGCACUAGCUGGUUUUAUUUUGAUCCGGUUUUUUUUAGUCUUUUACAAUAUACACAGUUCCAGAACCCUUCUUGAUUGAAAAAAGCAGUGAUCUUUAAAUCUAUCUUACCUAGUUUUUAAUCUGCUUCUCUGCCUUUAUCCAAGAGAGAACAGUUUAUUAUUUUAAAACAAAAGAUAAUAACUUCUGUGGGACCUGCUACCUGUUGGAAAGCCGGAAGGCCUGGUGGAGAUUCCUGAUCUAUAGCAUUAUUUUUGCUAUUAGCUUUUUACAACAGGGCACUGCAUAGUCAAGCCAGCCUCUUUAGAUCAUAUGGCCCAAACUACCAGGACUUGUUGAUUUGAUUUGUUGAUGCCAAGAGCUUCCCUAGUUUAUCUGCUUGAAUAUUUUUGCAUAAUUUUUUGCAAGACCACUCUAACCAUUUGUUCAAAUCACCUUUCAAAGGAGCAGCAAAAAGUUUGGCAUUCAGAUACCAGAUCUCUGUAACAGAUUAGGUGGUCAUCUCACAUUAUUCCUGAUGGAAAGAGUAGCAACAAUGAAGGCAAAGUUAAUGAUUGCAGGGAAGAAACUCUUGUUUUCCAUUUGAUGACCUCUCAUGGUCUUUAACUUCAUUUGUUCAGCAGACUUUGAACAGAUGCUGUACUUUUUCAUACUUCUGAGAAAAACAUUUGUUCUGAUGGCAGCCAGUGCCUGAGAAAUGUGCUGACGUUCUUCUGAAAAGGGAUUACAAAAGGAGGGUCUUCUUAAGAAGUCAACAUUUGAGAAAGAGUCCUCCAAAUCAGUUUCUAUUCAUAAAUAUUUCCUGACUAGACAGAAACUUUGGUUUCACUCCUGAAACAUUCUAAAAGCAUGUGCUUGAUAUAAAGAUUUUUGCUUUGUCCUGCUAAGUCCCGAUUAACCAUAUUUCUUGAAUCAAGGCCUAAAAUGUCAAAGGCCCGACCAAUUUACAAGCAAUGGUUGAGUUGCUAUGAAUUACUUUGGAAUUUUAUAGCAGCUUCAGAGAGGGGCAGCUUGCUGGGAGGUUUGUCUGUAGCUUGAAGUGAGCAGUUAAGUAUGGAGAGCAUAAAAUCUGUUCAUUUUUAACUGACAACCUACUUUUCCUAUAUCUGGCUGCAAGAAAAAACCUGUCAGGAAAGACACAACACUGGUGCCAUUUGGAACAAGGUUCAUUACCCUCUUCCUGACUGUGACUCAGACAUUAGGUCUGUAGAAAAACAACUGCUGCUUUUUUUCCCACUUCUUUUCCUUUGGUGAUGAAAACCAAGCCAUUGAAAAUGGACAUACUGUAGAAACAGAAACAUUUCCUCUAUGGGUGAAGAGAAACAAAUGAGUUAAAAAACUGAGGACUCCCUGACUCCAUAUUUUCCAUAGUACACUACUGCAGGAAUUAAAAUGAAUGCUAGCAGAUGGGGAGUGGAAAAGUUUGCCGCUGCUAACACUGAGGUGAUACUGCUCUGUGUAACUGUAAAAGCAAGGACUGUUUCCAUUUUGCUCUGUGCAUUUGUUUUCUCUGCACUUUCCAGACUCAUCCCCCAGGCAUCUGCACAUGCUUGGUCACUGAUAAAUGAAAAAAGCUAGGAAAAACACUUUGCUCUUCUGUCUCCAUUUGGUAUGUGUCCAUUGCAGCAGAUAGGUACGCUUCUGUAGGACUAAGAUCAACUCUUAGUAUUUGAACAAUAAAUAAAAACGUCCUGCUAGGUUGGUGUUCACAAGUCUCUGUUCAACAAAAUACUUGUAUAUCUGCUUAAAUCUACCAGCAAGGAACUGAAGCAUGUUUAAUGAUAUCCACAUGCUCAGUUCUAUUAGCUUUAAUGGUCUUUAAACCUACAUUGAAAAUCAGAUGCACACUGAAGGAUGUCCUGAAGAGCAUUGGCUUUGCUAGGUACUCAGGAGCCUGGGAGCUGGGGGUGACCCACUUGCCAGGUAGUCAGUCUUCUCCUGGCAGCAGCAAUGAUUCAGAGUCAUGACUGUUAACUCGGACAGGCUGGUGGUCAAACCCACGUAGCGAAAGGAUGUGCAAAGUGGAGUGGGUGAGCACUUUGCUUCUGAGACCUGUAUUUAGUGGCUGGAUGGCCAGGGGGAGACCUGACUUGUGAUUGAAGAGGAAAUGCAUUGCUGGGAUGCUUUUGGCAUCUUUCCCAAGAACACUGCUUGAGAGGCCCUGCUGUUAACUACAAACCUCUCCAGCCCAGUGCCAGACUGAGAAGUAUUUCAGGGUAUCAGAAUAUAUUACCUCAAGCAGGAGUAAUUUUAUGUUUGGAGGCAGUCAGGAAACAUCCAUCCACAGGUAGGGUAAGAGCCCCUGGGGACUCCAGCCAGCCACCACCAGCCAUGCUAGGACACUGCUCUUCCUUGGGGCAGGUCAGCAGCCCUCCUGGAGCACUGAUGGACAUCCCUAUGGAGGCAAUGGAGUUUUGCCAUUUUUCAGUAGCUGAAGAUAUGGCCUGAGGGGAAUUGAAUGAAUGCACAUGACAUGCGAGGCAGGAAGGGGGAGGGCUUUCGGUACAAAAGGAACAUUAACUUCACCAAGUUUUCAAUUAAAAAAAAAGAAGGGUGGAAAACAGACAUGAGGGGAAAUUGCCCACUGAUUACAAAUACAAACAAAGAGUCCAAAGAAAACAGACUUUAUGAGAGGGUUAUGAGGAGGUUACCAUAAAGUUUCUCUUCACCUUUUGACCCAUCCUGUGAGUCACUCCAAGAUAAGACUGAGCAGAAAAUUGUCAUAUGGGAAACUAAGCAAAGGCAACUCUUCUCCUAAAUAAACAAGUGCUCUAUCCAGGGGGAAUUACAGAAAUGUAAAGUUGAUCUCUCUGUCCCUCAUAUCCUUUAGCUUUGUCUUUCUGGGCAUUGCUUUAGGCACUUGAAGUGCUGGGAAAAAACCUAGGCUUGAGCUCAAGACCUGGUAGGUAGAAAGAAUUCAAGAAGUAUAGAAGCACAGCACCUCCUCUCCUCUGCCCUUUGACAUAUACAGGAAAAGUUAAUUGUCUAUACAACCAUCCCCUCUCUACUUGGGCUCCACCAAACAGCAAGAAGCUUCUAUGGAAAGAAUCCCAUGGACUUCAGGGGUGUUUCUAAUGGGCCAACUGAAAUCAUUGACAAUCUUCUCUUGAUGUCUGCUGUGGGAUCCAUCCCAUGUUCUGCUGCUGCUGCUGGGUGAUUGCACUGUCUGUCACUAGGCAAGCCUCUGAGAUAAUUAUAGCCUAUGCUCAUAUUUGGAUUUAAAGAAGUCAAGAAGGCACAGCAGAGCAGAGAUGCAACUGGCUGUUUUCCAGGUGGGUUUUGCAGACAGCUACUCUGCUAGUGAAACUGAGCUGAUUUCCACUUACUGGGGGGUAUGUCUGCAUAAUACCAUUGUGACCCACCACGAAGCUGUAGCUGUGAUUGCUGUUGAAUAACCCUAAUGAGGUCAUAGCCCACUGAGUAUAAAGGCAUGUUAAAAUGUCUUGAGCUGGUGCUGACAUGCAUUUGGCUAGGGUUUUAUCUGAUCCAUUGGAGCUUGACACAUAAGACUGGGUUGCCCUCUUGGUAUUGAAGAACGCCCUGAUGAAGGAUCACAUUCCUGUCUGUCUGGAAAAAAAAAAAAAAGUUUUGUCUGUUAACUAAAGGCCCUGCCCUCGAAUGACUGUCACUGAGCUUGUCCCAGCAGGGGCAAGGAGGGAACAUGCACAAUCAAGUGCUGCAAAGCCAAGCCAUGAGGAAAUGGUGAAGUUUGCUACACAGAAGUAUUUUUGGAACACUACUUAUUUAUAAAGGAUCAGUGAUAAUGAACCUGGACAAAAGAACCAGCUAGUAAAUGCAAGCAGAUGGUGUUUCCAGAUGCUCCCAGUAAUUUCUCUAACACA